rnacentral:tRNA from 1 species
GGCCUGAUGGCGAAGUAGAAACGCGGGGGACUGCAAAUCCUCUACGCGCGGGUGCGAUUCCCGCUCAGGCCUCCA